CUGUGUUGGUUGCUAUAUUGUUUCAAAGUGGUUGCUAGGUGGUUUCUAAGGUGUUGCUAUGGUAUCUGUGUUGGUUGCUAUAUUGUUUCAAAGUCAUUGCUAGGUGGUUUCUAAGGUGUUGCUAUGGUAUCUGUGUUGGUUGCUAUAUUGUUUCAAAGUCAUUGCUAGGUGGUUUCUAAGGUGUUGCUAUGGUAUCUGUGUUGGUUGCUAUAUUGUUUCAAAGUGGUUGCUAGGUGGUUUCUAAGGUGUUGCUAUGGUAUCUGUGUUAGUUGCUAUAUUGUUUCAAAGUGGUUGCUAGCUGGUUUCUAAGGUGUUGCUAUGGUAUCUGUGUUGGUUGCUAUAUUGUUUCAAAGUCAUUGCUAGGUGGUUUCUAAGGUGUUGCUAUGGUAUCUGUGUUGGUUGCUAUAUUGUUUCAAAGUGGUUGCUAGGUGGUUUCUAAGGUGUUGCUGUGGUAUCUGUGUUAGUUGCUAUAUUGUUUCACAGUGGUUGCUAGGGGGUUUCUAAGGUGUUGCUAUGGUAUCUGUGUUGGUUUCUACAUUGUUUCAAAGUGGUUGCUAGGUGGUUUCUAAGGUGUUGCUAUGGUAUCUGUGUUGGUUUCUAUAUUGUUUCAAAGUGGUUGCUAGGUGGUUUCUAAGGUGUUGCUAUGGUAUCUGUGUUGGUUGCUAUAUUGUUUUAAAGUGGUUGCUAGGUGGUUUCUAAGGUGUUGCUAUGGUAUCUGUGUUGGUUGCUAUAUUGUUUUAAAGUCGUUGCUAGGUGGUUUUAGAUUAUAAUGUGUUGCUGCACGUUGCUGCGAUGGAAUGUUGGACCCCCAUUCAUUCCUAUGGGGCAAAUUUAUAUGACAAUUGCACUGAAACCGCACAUCGUAUUAAUUCGUAUUAAUCAGAUUAUUGUUAUGUGUUUGGGCAGAA